AUGGCGUGCCUGUCCUCCUCGCCGUCCGGCCGGCGCCUGUCGGAGCUGCUGGAGGAGAGGCAGGAGCCCUUCUUCCUUGACCUCCACCUCCUGGAGAAGGGCUGCUCGGGCUGGCUCCUCGAUGGCUAUGACACCGCCCUGUGCUGGCCAGCCGCAGCCGCCGGCAACGACGCGGCGUCCGUGCUCAAGCGACUCACCAGCAAGAAGAAGAAGGCUGCAGCGAGCACCCGUGGUACGAAGCGGCAGCAGCAGCCGCCGGCGGGCUCCGGGCUCCUGCGGCUGCUGAUCUCCAAGAUCCUCCAGGGCAAGGUGGCCAACCAGAAGCCCGCCGCCCUGCAGUGCUCCGAGUCAUUCAAGAGGGUCGCGCCGUCGCCGUUGCCCUGCUCCAAGCAUCUCGACGCCGUGAAGCUCAGGGCCGACGCAGGGGUCGUCAGCGGCCAGGAGACGGAGUAUUCCGACUCCGAAUACGACGACGAGAAGCAGCACAGCCCGGUCUCCGUUUUGGAGCACCCGUUCGAGAGCUCUCCUGUCCACGGCCAGAGCAGGUUCUCCUACGUACAAGACUCGCCCAAGAACGCCAUGGCCGUCGUCCGGGAGCUCCUCAUGGAGAUGGAGACGGCUUACACGCCUGCGCUGUGCACCCAGUUGUUCGCCAAGUCUGAGGGCCUCGUCAAUGACGCCAACGAUCUUGCCGACCACGACGGCGGCGACGACUACUACUAUCGCACGAGCCCUAAGAACUUCCAAGAGGAAGACGGGACCGCGGCCGCCGGCAGCCCUGCCACCAGCGCCGCCUACUGGGCGACGCACCGAGCGGAGCUGGCCAGGGUGUCCGAGCUAGUCUCCUCGGAGGUGCCAAGGUCGAGACUGGACGCCGCCAGCGUGCAGCCGGAGCGACGGGACGUCGGCGCCGACAUAGAGAGCGCCCUGCUCGAUGCCUUGGUGCUGGAGCUCGUCAUGGAUCUCGGUGGUUGCUAA
rnacentral:rRNA from 1 species